UUAAAAAAAAAAAAAAAAAAAAAAAGUAACAAUAAUAAUAAAUAUGUCAAAAAGUGUUAGCAUGUUAUGUUCAAUGUAUUGGCUUACUCUAGGGAGCGGUGUAUGUCUUAACGGCAUAGUCUCAUCCCAUAUAGCCCAGCUUUGUACAUAUGUACAGACUCACCACCCUUGUUGAUGUCAUCUACUUUCACCAUUUGCCUUAUCUCCAGUCAUGAAACACGUAAUUUAACCAAUGAGCCAUUCCUUCUCCUGGUCACUUCCCUCUGUGAUCUCCUGGUUGGUCAGACAGUUACAGUACAGCUUAAAGUCCUUGGGGCUUUUUUUUGGGGGUGUGCCAUAUGACUUUCUUCUGCUCAUUACUAGUCUGUACUCAGUCCUGCAAUGUGAUGAUAGUGUCAGCCACCAGGUAAUGGAGGAAGUUGACUUGUCAUUUAUCUACAAGAUUCUCAUCAAUGCACAGAUUUGUAAAUACUAUAAAUAGCGUUGAUCUUAAUAUAUAGAAAUGAAUCCGCCAUCAUGCCACCACCACCACCCAACCCCCAAAUUGUUUGUUGUCACAGUUGAUAAUGUUCAAUGCAAACAAACUUAGUGGUCUAGUUUCCCUCAGACUAAACAACUAAAGGGCUUUCUUGUCACACAAAAUAAUCAGCUCCCAUGAUGUUGUUAUUUUUUUGGGCUGGUUUUGAACGAAGUGUUAAGUUUUUUUCAGUAUUGUACACAUUUUCAUCUAAUCUAUUGCCAAACCAUGUGAUGCUUCGUUCAAAUCCAUCCUGUACAUAUAUUCAUAUUGUGUUACUAGACGUGUGUUAUUUUCUAUUUAUUGAGUAGAGUCUACUAUUUGUGGAUACUAGUAUAUUUAGUUGAUAUUGUCACUAGGUAAUAGCUUGCAGUGUAGAGUUAUUAGAUAUAUCAGAUGUGGGGUGUACAUACAAAUACGUGGUUCAAUACCACAUUCAUUCUUUUUAUUUUGACAUUUGUUCAGAUCAAUUAAUCAUGAUUGUUGUGUUUUUUUUGUCUUGGCACUUUUGUAGGCAGAGUCUCUACUUUCAGUGCUAACCAUUGGCAAUUCUUUUGCUUUUAUCUAAAGAAAAAAUGACAGAUUAAAGUCCAGGUAGAGAAUUCUGUUCAGUUUCCAAGUUGUGUAUUCCACCCAUGAGAAACAAAUAUUAAACCUUUCAUUGGCUUCAAUGUUUUUGUCCUGUCUGAUUCAGCUUUGUGUGUCACUAGCUGGUUGCCCCAGCUAUGUGUGUCACAAGCUGGUUGCCCAAAACCCAAUCAACUUAUUUAAAACAAAAAUAAAAGGCAGCAAAUAAUUUCAUCUUUUUUUUUCUUCCACUGAUUCAUGUUCAGUGACAGAAAAUUUGUCCUAGCGUUGGCUUGAUCAACUACAUAUUUAGAGUAAGCUACCUAACAAGUAGAUUUGUUUUUAUUUGCCUCUCUCUUGCAUUGAAUCAAACUAAACUUAUGGCCAAAAUGUGCUCAACAGUAGUAUCCAAGCAAUGCAAGGUCAAAUCUACUAUCUGUGAUAAUACAUCCAAGUCAAUUUUGGCCAUUGUAUUUGUACUGUAUUCACUGCCCUGGUAGUCUAAAUUCAACUUGAAUGCUGUUAUUCAUUGGUCACAUCCCAAAUCUGUUCAUCUUUUUAGUUCAUUUUUGAAACUGUUCUAAUAAUCCUUCAAUUGAAAAGGUAAAGCAUGAGGUUUUCCAAAUGACUCCACAGAAACUAAAAAUGGAAAGAAGGUUGUCUUUGACUAUGCUCAACUUUGUCCCAGUGGAAAUAUUAGCCGACUGUCUCAAAAAUAUUGUCAGAUAGCUGAGGUACACAAUGUGCAUUUGUAGAAUUACAUUAAUAACAUGGCAUUUACAUAAUAUGUUAGCUUUUGAUUGAAGUGUAAUUGAAGUUCGAGUCACAGUCAAGUAGUACCAACAUUGGGACCAGAGUUUAAACAAUGAAACAAGCCCGAACACAUUUUUUUUAAAUGGUAAAGAUAAACAUUUUUAGCUUAUAAACAUUUUUAUUUUUUUGGAUGCAGUUGUUUCAACACACAUUUGAACAUAAUACUAUUCAGCCAAAGUAGUUCAUAUCAGUUUUAUUAUCUAAUGCUACUGGUACAUAGACUUAUGUACUUUUGGUUAACACUGUUAUAAUGGUCUAUAUAUGAAGAUAGUUUUUGAUGUGAAAGUAAUGUUUAAAUUAUGAAAGUAAUGCUGGCAUUUUGUUUAAGAAUGAUGUUGAGUGUGACUGUUGAGAAAGUAAUGAUGUUGUCAUGGCUGUACUAAUCAAAGUAUGUUGAUAACUCUGUGUACAUGAGUAACUAUCAUUGAUUGAGGAACCUGUGAUGUGGAUGUGUUUGUGAGCUAAGUGAUGACUAUCCUAGACACUGCAGUGCCCAUACCAGCCAAUGUAUGUUGUAGAUCAAAACAGUUCAGUUCAUAUGCAGGCAGUUUCUAAAAGUUGUCUUUAUUCUAUUUACUCAGGAACUUGUAUUCACCCUCUUUGCCCCAUUAGCUUGCUCUUCUUCUCUCUUCCAUUUGGUUCUAACACGGAUGUCCUUUUUAUGUUUGUUUUUUUAUUGAUGAUUACAAUCUAAUGUGAGCUAAAUCUUUAUUCCUUUUUAUUGAUCUAUUGUUGUUAUUUUUUAAUUUUAAAUAAUAGAAUUCAAGUGUUAUUUUUUUUUUCUUUAUGCUUGGUGAGUUUUAUUUAUUAUUU